ensembl:snoRNA
ACGUGGGUUUGGAUUUAUGGCAGGCCUAGCCCCGUGGGCCUCUCAUAGUGUCCCAUGCCAGAGCAAACUGUAUUCCCCGUACCAUUGACCUUGCCUCCGAACCCGUAGUUUUCCGGCACUGAAGCAGGUUGCACAGUG